CAUUAAAUAUCUUAAAUUUAAAGUAAUGAUUUUUUAAAUCAUUUAUAGUUAAAAAUAACUUUUAAUGA
rnacentral:tRNA from 1 species